rnacentral:rRNA from 1 species
ACAUGCAAGUCGAACGGAAAGGCCCUGCUUUUGUGGGGUGCUCGAGUGGCGAACGGGUGAGUAACACGUGAGUAACCUGCCCUUGACUUUGGGAUAACUUCAGGAAACUGGGGCUAAUACCGGAUAGGAGCUCCUGCUGCAUGGUGGGGGUUGGAAAGUUUCGGCGGUUGGGGAUGGACUCGCGGCUUAUCAGCUUGUUGGUGGGGUAGUGGCUUACCAAGGCUUUGACGGGUAGCCGGCCUGAGAGGGUGACCGGCCACAUUGGGACUGAGAUACGGCCCAGACUCCUACGGGAGGCAGCAGUGGGGAAUAUUGCACAAUGGGCGGAAGCCUGAUGCAGCAACGCCGCGUGCGGGAUGACGGCCUUCGGGUUGUAAACCGCUUUCGCCUGUGACGAAGCGUGAGUGACGGUAAUGGGUAAAGAAGCACCGGCUAACUACGUGCCAGCAGCCGCGGUGAUACGUAGGGUGCGAGCGUUGUCCGGAUUUAUUGGGCGUAAAGGGCUCGUAGGUGGUUGAUCGCGUCGGAAGUGUAAUCUUGGGGCUUAACCCUGAGCGUGCUUUCGAUACGGGUUGACUUGAGGAAGGUAGGGGAGAAUGGAAUUCCUGGUGGAGCGGUGGAAUGCGCAGAUAUCAGGAGGAACACCAGUGGCGAAGGCGGUUCUCUGGGCCUUUCCUGACGCUGAGGAGCGAAAGCGUGGGGAGCGAACAGGCUUAGAUACCC